ACUUGUAUAACAGUUUGGUGGAGAAAAGUUGGAAAUAAUGGAGUCAUGGCUCAUCAUCCUCAUCAUGAUCAUCACUUUCAUCUUCUUUUUCUUCCUCAAAUCCAAUAAAUAGAAGAUCAACAAGAAAUUUCCACCAGGACCCUUUGCUUUUUCUGUAAUUACCAGCUUACUACGCGUUAAUGCCAAUAUAGAACUCAUCCUCAAGGACCUCAAGACUAAAUAUGGUCCUCUCUUCAACUUAAGAAUUGGAAUUGGAUUUCGUCGUCCUUCCAUAUUUGUUGCUAGUCACUCAUUAGCCUAUCAAGCUUUAGUCCAGCAAGGUGCUGUUUUCUCUGACCGGCCAAAGGCCAAUCAGACCAGUGUCACCUUUCAUAGUAGCCGAAUUAACAUCUCCAUCUCUUCAUAUGGCCCCUUAUGGCGCCUCUUCCGUCGAAACAUUGUCUCUGAAAUCCUCCACUCUUCUCGAACCAAGUGCUACUCUAAGGUUCGAUCGCGGGUACUCACUUUCCUUAUUCAACAGCUUCGUUCUAAUUCUGCAGCCAUGGAAGUGAUCAGGUUGAUUGAUCAUUUUUGUUAUGCCAUGUUCUAUCUUCUUGUCCUGAUGUGUUUCGGGGACAAGAUCCAGGAGCAUCAAGUCAAACAGAUCCAAGAUGUACAACGAAGAUGGCUUCAAAGUGCCGGUCUAUUCAUCAAUCUCAGCUUCUUCCCAAGAUCAGUUCAAAAGAUCAUUUUCAGGAAUCAGUGGAAGGAGCUCAUCCAAAUGAUACAAGAGCAAGAGAAUAUAUUUAUACCUCUGAUCGAGGCUCGAAAGAAAGCAAAAACUGAGGAAGAUGUGGUGACUUAUGCGGAGACCUUGAUGAAUUUGGAAUUCCCUGAGAAAAAGAGGAAGUUUAAUCGGGGAGAGAUUGUUAGCCUCUGCAGUGAUUUCCUCACCGCUGGCACUGAUACUACCACUAUCUCGUUGCAAUGGAUUAUGGCUAACUUGGUAAAAUACCCUUCUAUUCAGGAAAAACUAUACCAAGAGAUAUGUGAGGUAGUGACCAGAGGGAAUUUGAAGCCAAAAGAAGCGACAGGGAAGGAGGUAGUGAAAGAGGAAGAUCUAGAGACUAUGCCUUACCUAAAAGCAGUGAUCUUAGAAGGUCUAAGGCGGCAUUCGCCAGGUCACUUCCUGCAGCCACACACAGUGACCAAGGAAGUGGAGCUCAACGGUUAUGUCAUCUCUAAGGAUGUAGCAAUCAAUUUCAUGGUUGCAGAUAUGGGUUUGGAUCCACAAGUGUGGGCGAAUCCCUUGGAUUUCAAUCCCGAUAGGUUCUUAUCAGUGGGCGGUGAUGAUACAAAAGCGUUUGAUAUAACAGGUGUUAGAGAGAUCAAGAUGAUGCCUUUUGGUGCAGGGAGAAGAGUAUGUCCAGCCUAUGGCUUGGCUAUGGUCCAUUUAGAGUACUUUGUGGCUAAUUUGAUCUGGCAUUUUGAGUGGAAGGCUGUUGAUGGUAACAAUGUUGAUCUAUCUGAGAAGCUGGAAUUCACCGUUAUGAUGAAGAAUCCAUUAUGUGCUCGCAUCCGUCCCAGAGUAAAUCAACUUGAAUGAGCUAGCUGCUAAUGAUGUGUAUUUGUUUGUUUUUCUUUCUCUUGAAGUUGUUGAUGUUUCUUCAAUAUAAAAUAAAGGAACAGGAGGAAGGGAACUCAAAGUACUCAACUGUUCAACUGUUUAUAAGAUUGGCUUUUGGAGGUGUUU